ACCGAACCCAAAACCUCAUGCUUCCUAGUCAGAUUUGUUAACCACUGAGCCACGACGGGAGCUCCGAAGAGCACUUUUAUUUUAAUCUAUAUUUGUUUUGGGUUCUUCUUGACAAUAGGCCAUAUGCAACAAAAAUAAUAUUGCUUUGAGUUGUUUUUCACUUAAUUCCUUGUCUAAAAUCUCUUAUGUUAAACUCGGGUAAAUGCAGGCAUAACCUCUCGCUCGAAUACAGACAGAGGGAGAUGAUCUUUUAAAGGGUAGCCGGCCUGGUGGGUGUCCUAUUCCUCUCGGCUAAUUCUGGGUAAGGAUGGUCAGCAUCCUCAUUCAGGAAUAUCUGUCAUGAAGAGUGAGAUUUUAGUGCUGGGAAGGGUCAUCCCGGAAACCCACCUGGGCAAGGAAGGCCCUAAGAGGGCUUCAAAGCAGUAGAAGUAGGACUUUCCAGAGGAAUCCCAUAAGGCAACCUGUGGAGGUUGGCCACUGGGUAAAGGACUCGGUGAACAGGCAGAACAGUAAAUAUGGGAUUUAGUAAUUGACAAGUCUUCAUCUAGCAGCCAAUGAAGCCCAGGAAUAUGAUGUUCCCAGCAACCCAGAUGCAGGGUGACAACAGCUGGGUUUCAGCCAUGGAGUGGGAAAGGGGACAAAAUAGUGACUAUGGAAAUAAGAUCACAUCCCAGGGAAGGACUGUCAUCUCCGUAUUAGCAGUUUACCAUUGGUUCUUCAUCCUCCCUCUGCUCUAAACCGGCUGGUCUCAGAGUCUAGGGCAGGAUCAUAUCUGUGGAUUCAUUUCUGAAAUGUGCUCCAUGGCAGGCACAUGGAUCACCAAGGGUAUUUGUUAAAGGAGAAGUUAUAAAAUCCCUUCUUAGACCUGAGGGCCGCUGUGCUUGGGGAGCUGAGGAAUCUGGAAUUCAAAGUGCAGUUACAAAUGGUUCUAGAAUAUAAGGGCCACUUGCUAUGGGCCAUGCAUAUGUGGUCUCAGGAGUAAUAGUCAGCGAGCAUUGAAGGAGCAGGACGGGGAAACUGCAGAUCAUUACAAAAAUCUAAGUCUAUUUAAAAAUAAUUAUUGGCAUUGGACAGCUGGCACCAAGUGCUCUAAUUACUUAAUCAGUAUAGUGAGACAAAGUGUUCCUUAGAGUAGAGAUUACUAAAGAAGAAAAAGUAACCUCAUUCAAUUCAAAUAACUGAUUUUAUUGAGCGCUUGCUAUAUAUAAAGCGGUAAUAUAGAACUUCAGAAAAGUAAUCAUGAGAUAGGCUUAGAGUUACUUAUUGGAUUGUUCUCUCCAAGACUUUCCCUUCUCUCUAUCGAUUCUUCCUUUGGGUGGAAUGCUCAUAAAUCAUGAAGCAGUUCCUUUUCAAGAGUCCAAAAUAAGAUUCUGCUUCAAUCUUACCUUGCUAUUUGAGAAGCAACAAAAAGAGAAACAGCAAAAGGGAAGUUUGCUACCACAUUUUUCAGAAAGACUUCUGGGGGUCUGUACAGUUACAUGGUAACACACAUAGCAUGCUGUGUAUACUAAGGCUGGCAACAGUCAAUUCAGAGAAAGAUUUGGUCCAACUCAGUUGCAAAGUCCAGCUCUUUUGGUCAAUGGCUCAGAGCAGGGGUAGAGAUGCAAGACCAAGGCUAAAAGGCCAGCAGUAAAAGUGGAGGUGGCAAGGUGGAGGGCCAAUCUUGGUUCCCUAAUCAGACUAUUCCUAGCCCUGUAGCUAUGGGGAGGGCACAUGAAUUACGCUAGGGCAGGUGCCAAAACCAUCUGCAAGAAAGCCUCCUUUUCUGUUCAUAGUCAGUAGGAUAUUCACUUUCCUAACCAAAGCAAAAGUCAGAUUUUUCACAUCCUUCUGAACUUCUGAACUCACUGUUGGAGAAGCCUUUUUUUUUUUUUGCUUGGUUAAACCAACUUUGCCAGUUUGUGGAGAAAUCUGGUGGAGAGUUGAGGGACUAUAUUUGAUUUUGCAUUGAGGUCCAUGUUUAUUAGUUAUACCACUGAUCUCAUCAGCCUCUGUGACCCUGUCUGAAAGAAACACAUUUGCCUGAAAUCAUUUUCAACUUUUCAUUGUUUAAACACUGAGUCAGAACACACACGAAUAUAAACAUUUGGGAUUUUCCUGUCUUUAGAAAUCCAUAAUCGCCUCUCCCACCCACCUAAUCAAAUGUGAGAACAUAUUUAAUUUGGCCCACCCCAGGAAGCAACAAUCCAGUUGAGUGCUCAAAUAUAAUCUGGGAGUUAAGCCCAAAUGAUUGAAAAAAAUCUAAGAAAAUUGUCUAAUUUUUUAAUAGCAGUUUCUGUGUAUAGAAUUCUAGACUAAGAAAUACUUCCAGAUGCUUUGGAACUAGAUAGAAGUGGUGGUUGCACAACAUUAUAAAUGUAUUAUUGCCACUGAAUUGUUCACUUUUUUUUUUUUUUGUCUUUUUGCCUUUUCUUGGGCUGCUCCUGAGGAAUAUGGAGGUUCGUUCCCAGGCUAGGGGUCGAAUUGGAGCUGUGGCCACCGGCCUAUGCCAGAGCCACAGCAACGUGGGAUCCGAGCCGCAUCUGCAAUCUACACCACAGCUUAUGGCAACACUGGAUUGUUAAUCCACUGAGCAAGGCCAGGGAUCGAACCCGCAACCUCAUGGUUCCUAGUCGGAUUCAUUAACCACUGAGCCACGACAGGAACUCCUGAAUUGUUCACCUUUAAGUGGUUUAUUUUAUACUAUAUAAAUUUCACCUCGUUUUUUAAAAAGAAAUCUUUUCAGAAUUAUUGAUUUCUUUAUAACUGAGAACCUAAAUGUAGAAGGACUCUCCACUCUUUGUAUCAUUCUUUCCUUUUUUAUAUGCUGGUAUAGAUACAUCUAAGCCAUUCAAAGGCUUAGAGAUAACAUUUUCUUUCCCCUCCAUUGAUUUUUCUUUUCUGUUGCACAAGCAUUGAUUCUUUCCUCUGCCCUCCGUCACCCCCCACCAGCUCUUUAUGUGCAGUUAGUUCUGCCUGGGCUUGCAAUUGAGAAUCAUUGGGGUCUGAAUCUGAUGCAGCUUUUCUUGCAGGAAACAGAUCACCACUCCAUGGUGCGGGUGAUCUCAGAAUGUCUUUGUUUUUACUGUUGUGGGAUGUCAGGAAAGACAGGUGAAGGUACUUCUUGGGGGGGAUGGAGGUUAUGCUUUAUAGGUGGGUGGGCUGCUAUUUGUGAGCCAUCAGUCAUGGGGGCAGCUGGAAAGGGAGCGAUUCUGUCACGCCCCCACCCCCACCACUGGUGCUAUAACAAGCUGAAGCACUGACUGUAAAUGCCCUACUCCCUCCAACCCAGUCACUGAUGCAAGGCAGCUGGGACUAGUUCUUCCUUUCUAUAACCUUCUCUUUUAUUUAUUAAAAUCCACAUUCAUAUAUACACUUUUCUCUUGUCCAUGAUCUCAUUUAAACAUUCAUGAUUCUGUGAAGCAGGGAGAGUUGCAGAAGAGGACACCAACGCUCCCAGACCUUGCCUGGCUUGCCCAAGACCACUUUUCUAAGAAGAUAUGGAAACACGAGCCCUCGAAUGUGGGGUUUUCAAUAACCUCAUUCUUUGUACUUCAUCAACGUGUUGUGCUAUGCCCCCUUCUGAGAGUUCUGUGGAUGGUUUACUUCUAAUGAUGGUUUUGCCAGCCAGUGCCCUUUGCAGGGUCACCAUGUAUGUUUGUGCAGGUGGGCACUGCACGCUUUGGGGAGCACUGUUCACAAGGACUGCCAGAUGUUCAAUGUUAUGCCCUUGGGUGUUGGCAUUCUUUUUUAUCUGACAUUGCAUGGAGGGGAAAAGACGGUUGUGGUGUAUUCCCGGAGUUCACAGCUAACCUUUACAAACAAUGAUCUAUUGCAGAGUGAGAUCAAUUGAACCACUCCAAGAAUCAGCUGCACCUACUUUACACAAUGUUAUUUUCCCAGUGUUUUUCCAAAGAAGCACCUUUGCAACUGAUGUUUACAUUUUUAAAAUAGAAAUAGAAGGUACUUUUUGUAGAAGUGGAUUUUAAUUCAAUUACUCAAACUUUCAAGUUUCAGGUGUCACAAGAAGCAAGAGUAAAAGGAGGAAGGGAAAUAUGAUGGUUACUUUUAUAUGUCAAGUUGACUAGAUCACGGGGUGCCCAGAUAUUUGGUGAAACAUUAGUUUUUGAUGUAUCUGAGAGAGUGUUUUUGGACGAGAUUAGCAUUUGAAUCAGCAGACUGAGUAAAGCAGAUUGCCUUCAGCGGUGGGAGUGGAUAUCAUUCAAUUCUUUGAGGGCCCCAAGAGGACAAAAAAGUAGGAAAAGGGGCAAAGUCGCUCUGUGCCUGACUGAGCCGGGGCGUUGGUCUUUUCCUGCCAUUGUACCGGGACUUAUACCAUGGGCACUUCUGGGUCUAUGGCUUUUGGACUCAGAUGGCAACUACACCAUUGGCUUUCCUGGGGCUCCCUCCAGCUUACAGAGGGCAGAUUGUGGGGCCUCUUGGCCUCAAUGAUCAUAUGAGCUAAUUCCUUAUAAUAAAUCAUAUGUGUGUGUGUAUGUAUCCUUUCUAAUACAUAAUCUCCUAUUGGUUCUAUUUCUCUGAAGAACCGUGGCUAUUACAGGGGACGAAUUGGGAAAUAAUCAUGACAAAUGACUGAAAUAGUAUUUGUUAGGACUACAUACUGUCCACGUUAAAGAUGAUCUAGAUCAGAUCUUUAGGGAAGAUCGUAUGUUUGGCACCAACAGACAUAAAAGUGAUAUCUUAGCCAUUAGAGAUAAGGACUUCCAUUCAUGGUUGCCAAGAUGGGAUGUUAUACUUAAAUAUACUUAUAUACUUGGUCCAUACAGUUUAGUAUUUUUUAUGUCAAAGCAUUCAAUCAUCCGGAUAUCCACGAUGGAACUGACAGUAUAUAAUGACUAGAUAUUUACUUGCGUCUGUCUAUGGGCAAAAAAAAAAAUGUCUUCCCACAAUUUGUACAUAGUGAGCCUGUAUUUCACAUCCUACAAACAUGAAUUUCUGAAAUAGGAUAAAGAGGUACAUUAAUGCACAUGAAUAAUCUACAGAUACGUAAAAAACAUUUUGAGUUUGGAAAAAGGCUAAAAGUUAGGAGUGACCUUAGCAAGUUGCUUAACUAACUCCUUUGAGCCUCAGCUUUCAUAUCUAUAAAUAGAGCUAAUAUUUCACCCUUGUAUACGUACCUGGUCACACAUCCACUCUGGUUUCUUGAGGGAAUCAAACAGUUACUCUAGGUGAAAGCACUCUGAAAUAUAAAGCACCUGGCGAUGUAGAAGGCACCACUACUUAAACUCCGUUUGUAGAGAAACAUACAUUCUUAGCACAUGCACAGGUACAGACCGGUAAUAGAAAUAAGCUGGAUAGACGGAGAAGUAUAACUGGAUAGCUAGAGAAGGGGAAAAAAAUCUCUUAAUUGAAGAAAGAGAAACAGAAGAUCAGGAGGAAAAGAAUGGGUAGAUAGUUGUUUACAGGUGGAAGGAAGGUGAGAAACUGUAGGGUGAGAUGAGAACAAACUCCUCCACUUUUCUGGGUGAAGAAAAAGAGCCUUAAAAGAAUUAAGCGGGGUUAACUGCCUUAGUGGGCUGGAAUAGCAACAGAGGUGUGGGGUUAGCAUUUAUGGAUUAGAAGACAGGCAACACUUGAGGGGGUGCAGAGAGUCCACACAUAAAAUAGACAUUUUAAAAAAUGAAGAGGUUUGUAUUAUUGUGUGUUAAUCACCACGUCUACAGGGAUUGCCACUUUGCAGGAAAAGACCAGCAUGACUAUGGCCUACACAUGUGCCCCAGUACCUAGGUUGAUGCCCUCACCCACCACGUGAAUGUAAUAGGGCCUUUAAGGAGGUGAUUGAGGUUAAAAUGAGGUCACGGGCGUGGGGCCUUAAGCCAAUCAAACUGGUGCCUUUAUAAGAGGAGGAAGUGACACCAGGGCCUCUUCUGCGGGAAGACAGUGAGGAGGAGGCCGUCUUCGAGCCAAGGAGCGCCCUCUCACCGCAACCCACCACGCUGGCGCCUUGAUCGUGGACUUCCAAACUCCAGAACUUGUGCUUUUCUCUGUAACGAAGUUUCAAUACCUUGAAAAUACUGAACAGGAGCUCCCGUCGUGGCUCAGUGGAUAAAGAAUCUGACUAGGAACCAUGAGGUUGCGGGUUCGACCCCUUUCCUUGCUCAGUGGGUUAAGGAUCCGGCGUUGCCAUGAGCUGUGGUGUAGGUCACAGGACGCAGCUCAGAUCUGGCAAGGCUGUGGCUCUGCUGUAGGCUGGUGGCUACAGCUCCGAUUUGACCCCUAGCCUGGGAAACUCCAUAUUACACGAGUGUGGCCCUAGAAAAGGCAAAAAGACAAAAAAGAAAAUACUGAACACAACUAUUAUUCUGCAAAAGAAUUUCAAUCUAAAAUGGAACCAGAGGAUAUAAAAUGAUAAAAUGGAAA